UGGCGAACUGGUGAGUAACACGUGGGUGAUCUGCCCUGCACUUCGGGAUAAGCUUGGGAAACUGGGUCUAAUACCGGAUAGGACCAUCGUUUAGUGUCGGUGGUGGAAAGUUUUUCGGUGUGGGAUGAGCUCGCGGCCUAUCAGCUUGUUGGUGGGGUAAUGGCCUACCAAGGCGUCGACGGGUAGCCGGCCUGAGAGGGUGUACGGCCACAUUGGGACUGAGAUACGGCCCAG
rnacentral:rRNA from 1 species